rnacentral:lncRNA from 1 species
UCUGGAAUUAAUAUUCUUGAUAGGAUUUAGAAAACUAUUAAAUAACCAGUCAGAAGAGAGGGAAAUGCAACUUGAGAUAAGAACACAAUUGUGUAGUAAUGGCAGGGAGGGGCUGAGAAUAUAUUGCAGCAAAGAGAAACAGUGAUGCCCAAGUUCGUUUCCAGAGAGAGAAAAAUACAUAUUAUAUUUGCUUUUACUUGCAUGAAAAAAGAAAACUGUGGAAGACUCAAGGGAUGAUCAGAUUUUCCUGAAGAUGUGGAGCAACUUCAAGGGGAAGAUCUGAGUCCUGUUGGUGGCAGGGAGAGGAGUCCAAGGUUCACCAAAGAGGAAGCUUGGAAUAAGCAGCUUGAGGCCCCAUUUCUACCACAAUUGCCUACACAGUGUGGGGUCUACCACGUUUAUACCAGAGAAAAGAAUUUAAUCUAUAUUGCUGGGAGAAUGGUGAACUGGCACACAAUUAGCUUACAAGAUUGACUCGGUUUCAAGAAGAAAAAUGGAGGUGAGAUCAGUUUUUAUACUUAAUAAUUUAAGAAUAAAAGCAUGUUUUAAGUAUAAAGGAAUAAGAGAGGAAAGCUAAGGAAAUGAAGCUCACCUCUUAUCAGAGUAAAGAAAUGAAAACAAAUCGAAAGCCCCACGAAUCAUCCCUACUGCGCUAAGGCAGUACAAGAAGGGUCCUCAUCCCUACGGCAACAGGGCAAGCAGGAAGUAGCUCAGGCAACCGUAUCUGGAAUGGCCAUGGCCUUAUUCAUCACUCUUCCUUAAUUCCUUUUCACUCUUCCCUCCUCCCCUCCUCUGUUCUUUCCCAUCUACCCCUUUCUUCUUUUCACAUUAUCAGAGGAUAUUCUGAUACAAAGUUAGAGCUACGAAACCUACACUGAGCCCACAACUGGAAUUUAACAACCUCUUCCCCUCUGAGGCUAACACAGAAGGCAGUUUGACAGGAAAGCAAGAGUCUGGCAGUAUCAGGGAAGAGUGGUGAAAGAUGCUUGUCAUUCUAAACUCUGACGUUCACCUCUACGAGG